ACCACACAACCUGGCGGAGCUAACACAUCCAGUUGAGCGCGCUUCGGGUGAGCGGCGGACGGUAGUACGCGUGGGAACGUACCCUUCUCUACGGAAUAGCCUUUGGAAACGAAGAGUAAUACCGUAUACGCCCUUUGGGGGAAAGAUUUAUCGGAGAAGGAUCGGCCCGCGUUAGAUUAGAUAGUUGGUGGGGUAACGGCCUACCAAGUCUACGAUCUAUAGCUGGUUUUAGAGGAUGAUCAGCAACACUGGGACUGAAAAACGGGCCCAGACUCCUACGGGAGGCAGCAGUGGGGGAAUCUUAGAACAAUGGGGCGCAGCCUGAUCUAGCCAUGCCGCGUGUGUGAUGAAGGCCUUAGGGUCGUAAAGCACUUUCGCCAGAGAUGAUACUGACAGUAUCUGGUAAAGAAACCCCGGGUAAACUCCUGUGCAGCAGCCGCGGGCAAUACGGAGGGGGUUAGCGUUGUACCGGAAUUACUGGGCGUAAAGCGUACGUAAGCCGAUUAAGCCGGUCGCACUUAAAUUCCCGGGGGUCCAACCCCUGCGAAUAGCCGUCUGAUAACUGCUAAGUCUAUGAGUUCCAAGAAGAAGUGAAGUUGGACUCCCAAGUGGUAGAAGAUGGAACAUCCGAGAUAUAUGGGAGGAGACACCCGUGUGGAAAGG
rnacentral:rRNA from 1 species